CCUACGGGUGGCAGCAGUGGGGAAUAUUGCACAAUGGGGGAAACCCUGAUGCAGCGACGCCGCGUGAGUGAAGAAGUAAUUCGUUAUGUAAAGCUCUAUCAGCAGGGAAGAAAAUGACGGUACCUGAGUAAGAAGCCCCGGCUAACUACGUGCCAGCAGCCGCGGUAAUACGUAGGGGGCAAGCGUUAUCCGGAUUUACUGGGUGGAAAGGGAGCGUAGACGGCAGUGCAAGUCUGGAGUGAAAGGCGGGGGCUCAACCCCCGGACCGCUCUGGAAACUGUACGGCGGGAGUGCAGGAGAGGUAAGUGGAAUUCCUAGUGUAGCGGUGAAAUGCGUAGAUAUUAGGAGGAACACCAGUGGCGAAGGCGGCUUACUGGACUGUAACUGACGUUGAGGAUCGAAAGCGUGGGGAGCAAACAGGAUUAGAUACCCUUGUAGUC
rnacentral:rRNA from 1 species